UAGCGGCAGGCCUAACACAUGCAAGUCGAGGGGUAACAGGGAGCUUGCUCCGCUGACGACCGGCGCACGGGUGCGUAACGCGUAUACAAUCUGCCUUGUACUGGGGGAUAGCCUUUAGAAAUGAAGAUUAAUACCCCAUAGUAUAUGAAAAUCGCAUGGUUUUCAUAUUAAAGGUUACGGUACAAGAUGAGUAUGCGUCCUAUUAGCUAGAUGGAGUGGUAACGGCACCCCAUGGCGACGAUAGGUAGGGGGCCUGAGAGGGUUAUCCCCCACACUGGUACUGAGACACGGACCAGACUCCUACGGGAGGCAGCAGUGAGGAAUAUUGGACAAUGGGGGCAACCCUGAUCCAGCCAUGCCGCGUGCAGGAAGACUGCCCUAUGGGUUGUAAACUGCUUUUAUACGGGAAGAAACCGCUCUACGAGUAGAGUUCUGACGGUACCGUAAGAAUAAGUCGCA
rnacentral:rRNA from 1 species